ensembl:snRNA U1 U1 spliceosomal RNA
AUAAAGAAUCAGGGGAGUUACCAUGGUCACGAAGGUGGUUUUCCCAGGGCGAGGUUUAUCCAUCGCUCUCUGGGUGUGCUGACCCUGCGAUUUCCCCCAAACGUGGGAAACUCGACUGCGUAGUCUGUGGUCGUGGGGGAAUGCAUUCACGCUCUCCCCUU